rnacentral:rRNA from 1 species
CGGACGAACGCUGGCGGCGUGCUUAACACAUGCAAGUCGAACGGUGACGAGGAGCUUGCUCCUCUGAUCAGUGGCGAACGGGUGAGUAACACGUGAGCAACCUGCCCCAGACUCUGGGAUAACAGUUGGAAACAGCUGCUAAUACCGGAUACGAGACGGAGAGGCAUCUCUACCGUCUGGAAAGUUUUUCGGUCUGGGAUGGACUCGCGGCCUAUCAGCUAGUUGGUGAGGUAAUGGCUCACCAAGGCGACGACGGGUAACCGGCCUGAGAGGGCGACCGGCCACACUGGGACUGAGACACGGCCCAGACUCCUACGGGAGGCAGCAGUGGGGAAUAUUGCACAAUGGGCGAAAGCCUGAUGCAGCGACGCCGCGUGAGGGAUGACGGCCUUCGGGUUGUAAACCUCUUUCAGCAGGGAAGAAGCGAAAGUGACGGUACCUGCAGAAGAAGCACCGGCUAACUACGUG